ACAACCCGGAAGUACGAAGCUCAACAUUUGUUUACAGUUGUGUGAUCCGGUUGUGCUGAAUUAACAAAAGUACAAUGCAUGGCCGGUACCAAAGAGCUUCGACGUACGACCUGAAUAACUGAACAGCUGCAUUUAAAUGGACAGCGGCAGUGGAGGAAGAGGAGGAAGAGGAAAGAGAGGAAGUCGUGGUGGAGAGGACGGGGAUGUCCGCCUGUCUAAGUCCCUUUCCUAUGCUCUUCGCCAUGGAGCCAACCAGAUGGGUCUCCAAAUGGGUUCAGAUGGCUUCAUGUUUGUGGAGGAACUCUUGGCUCACCCGCAGUUCCGCGCAUACUCAUUGAAAGAUGUCGAAAGAAUCGUGGCCACAAAUGACAAGAAACGCUUUAAGCUCAGCGCCCACCCGGAGGACGGCCGCCUGUUGAUUCGAGCCAGUCAGGGCCACUCAUUACCGGUAAUGGAUUUGGAGCUGAAACCGGUCCUGGCUGGUUCUCCGGACUGCCCCGCUGAGGCCGUUCACGGCUCCUACCUCCGCAACUGGAGCUCCAUCCAGCAGGAGGGCCUGAGCCGCAUGAAGAGGACGCACAUCCACCUGGCACUGGGCCUUCCAGGGGAGGAAGGCGUAAUCAGCGGCAUGAGGAAAGACUGUGAUCUAGCUGUGUAUAUUGAUGUGUUUAAAGCUCUUGCUGAUGGCGUUGAGUUCUUCUGGUCGGAUAACGGUGUGUUGCUGACUGCAGGUGACGCACAGGGAAAACUUCUGCCUAAAUACUUUAGCCGAGCCUUAAAACUGAGACCUACGAGGAGCAUCCUGUCACUGCAGUAGCAUCAGAGGAGAGAUCCCUCGGUAACACAAUGGGAGAAUUGUGUUACAGACAAUUCAAUGGGAGAAAGUAUACCAUUGCCAAAGAAACUAUGGCAGACAUUGACUAUGAUCGUACUUUCACCUUGCUGUAGGAAAAUACACAACAAGUUUGGACUUACAGCUAACAACGACCAGUUGGGCCUUUAAAUGUCUUUUGGAGACAUUUUGGAUGUGGCAAUAGACUAAUCUAGGAAAGCACAGGAUACAGACACUGUGGUUUUAGUUAACAGAUGCUGUAGCUGUUUCUAAAAGAUAUGGACACACACACACACACACACACACACACACACACACACACACACACACACACACACACACAAUGUGAGGGUAGAUUAACGGUUAGAAGCUUCCUGGUAAGGAACCAACAGAAAUGACCAAGCACAAGUCACAACGAUAAGGAGUGAAAACAACAGAGAAUGAAAAGUGAAUUGCUGUAUUCAUUUAUUUUAAUAAAUGUUCGUUAUCUAUG